rnacentral:lncRNA from 1 species
GCUGAUGCCGGAAAAAUCACGUUCAAAGAGUAUGGUAAGCAGAAGAUUUACAUUGCUAGACAAGACCAGUUUGAGAUUCCAAACAGUGAAGAACUUGCUCAAAUGAAAGAAGAAAACGCCAAACUUCAAGAACAACUCCAAGAGAAGAAGAAAACAAUCAGUGAUGUGGAGUCAGGUGUGAGAAACUUACUUUUGUUAAGUCGUUUUGAGGAUGUGAUAUAGCUGCUCGGAUAAUGUUAUGUUGUUCUGUGACAUUAUUUGCAGAAAUCAAGAGCUUGCAGUCAAACUUGACACUAGAAGAGAUACAAGAGAAAGAUGCCAAACUAAGAAAGGAGGUAUAUGUUCUUACCUUUUGGUUUUUGUAUUUCUUUGAGUGAGAUUGUACAUAGCUUAAAAAGUGAUUUCAUCUGUGUACCAGGUUAGGGAAAUGGAAGAGAAACUGAUC